UACGUAGGGUGCGAGCGUUGUCCGGAAUUAUUGGGCGUAAAGGGCUCGUAGGCGGUCUGUCACGUCGGGAGUGAAAACACGGGGCUUAACCCCGUGCCUGCUUCCGAUACGGGCAGACUAGAGGUAUGCAGGGGAGAACGGAAUUCCUGGUGUAGCGGUGAAAUGCGCAGAUAUCAGGAGGAACACCGGUGGCGAAGGCGGUUCUCUGGGAAUGACCUGACGCUGAGGAGCGAAAGUGUGGGGAGCGAACAGG
rnacentral:rRNA from 1 species